rnacentral:lncRNA from 1 species
CUUGGGCAGGACGAGGUUCCUCCCUCUCAUCCCUGAACGCAUCUCUUCGGAGUUUCCUUAGCGAAGGAGCGGCUGGCUCAUCUCACAGGCAAAGCCAGUGCUGUCCUCGUGCAAUGUACGUGCUCGUAGGGGGAUCCCCUCUUCCUCCAUCAGUGGCGCUCAGAUGCCGAAUGCGAGAGUGCCGUCGCCUACGGGGGGGCGCAACGAGUGAACUCUACAGAUCUCCGUUGGAUUUCUUCGUGCGUCCCCGUGGUUGCGCUUCUCCGUUCUUCUCUCGUUCUUCUUCUUCUUCUUCUUCUUCUUCUUCUUCGCUCAUAUUCCGUCGGAAAAGUUCAAGAUCUCUCGAGCAUUGAAGGGACUAUGUCACCGCGUGAGAUGGUUAUUAGAUCGUUUUCCCCCCAUUAAUCUUUUGCGCUGAUCAGUUUUUCGUAAAAAUCCAAACGGAAAAGUCUCCAAGAUUUGGGGAUUAUAGUGUCUCAGUGUGUCUCCAUCUGGUUAGAUCUCCGAUGCUGGAGAGAGCUGCCACUGCUUAUAACUAAGGAACGGAUGAGAGGGCGCUUGGAAUUUGGUCGGUGUGUCUAUUCGAGUUUUAUGCAAGCACACUGUGUGUCUGUUGUCGGCGAAGAGCCCAAAAUUAACGUCGGAGAAGAGCGAUUUUAAUGGGAGGGAAGUAUGUAGAUCCAGAAUUAUUAUCUCCAGCUCCGUAGUGUAUUAUACAGCUCAUAACCAUAGCAAAAUCGGUCUAAGGGGACGGACCAAAAUCUUCGAGCAAACUACAUUGUAACAGGGUCAAGUUAUGAAGAUUAAUCCCCUUCUGAAAUCCCCUUCUGAUCUGCCUUUUAAAAGUUCUUACUCUUGUUGUCAAGUUCGAUCUUGAUUUCUCACGAAUAAGAUGAAAGCUGUGGGCAUCCAUCAGGGCGACUCUCUGUGACCGAACGCUAUUGAUCAGAGCUACUGUUUAUUUUCUGCAGGGAUGAUUGAAAGCCGGUACGACUGGGGUUGCUUGUUGAUUGUGCUCGUUGCGGACAAGUCAUGAAAGCCUUGGGGCAUAUAGAAGCUUGGAUGAAUGGUACUCCGGAUCUGUUGCUCUGUGAAAGGCUUCUUCUGACUGAAUCAAGCAAGAACCAAGCUAUCCACAGCCCGGAUGAUCCGAGGGUUCCUUUCCCACAUGCAAUUCAAUCAUUGUUCAUAAAAAAAUUUGCAUUGGGGGAUUGUAUGUUUUUGGACUCUUACCAUAAGCCAUCUCAAGCAGGUCCAUUUUAUAUGAAUAUUGAUUCGCGUAUGGCACUCUGGAAUCGGAAGCUCUAGGAUCAAACCAUCCUCACCGGAAUCAAGAAUUCCAAACAGGAUGGAGAUACU